UACGGAGGGAGCUAGCGUUGUUCGGAAUUACUGGGCGUAAAGCGCACGUAGGCGGCUUGCCAAGUCGGACGUGAAAUCCCUCAGCUCAACUGAGGACGUGCAUCCGAAACUGGCGAGCUUGAGUGCUGAAGAGGAUCGCGGAAUUCCCGGUGUAGAGGUGAAAUUCGUAGAUAUCGGGAGGAACACCAGUGGCGAAGGCGGCGAUCUGGGCAGACACUGACGCUGAGGUGCGAAAAGCGUGGGGAGCAAACAGG
rnacentral:rRNA from 1 species